rnacentral:rRNA from 1 species
GGGUUGUGAGGUUAAGCGACUAAGCGUACACGGUGGAUGCCCUGGCAGUCAGAGGCGAUGAAGGGCGUGCUAAUCUGCGAUAAGCGCCGGUAAGGUGAUAUGAACCGUUAUAACCGGCGAUACCCGAAUGGGGAAACCCAGUGUGAUUCGUCACACUAUCAUUAACUGAAUCCAUAGGUUAAUGAGGCGAACCGGGGGAACUGAAACAUCUAAGUACCCCGAGGAAAAGAAAUCAACCGAGAUUCCCCCAGUAGCGGCGAGCGAACGGGGAGGAGCCCAGAGCCUGAAUCAGCAUGUGUGUUAGUGGAAGCGUCUGGAAAGGCGCGCGAUACAGGGUGACAGCCCCGUACACAAAAGCGCAUGUGCUGUGAGCUCGAUGAGUAGGGCGGGACACGUGGUAUCCUGUCUGAAUAUGGGGGGACCAUCCUCCAAGGCUAAAUACUCCUGACUGACCGAUAGUGAACCAGUACCGUGAGGGAAAGGCGAAAAGAACCCCGGCGAGGGGAGUGAAAAAGAACCUGAAACCGUGUACGUACAAGCAGUGGGAGCCCCACCACCAAAGCAUUCUCUGGUGUUGAAGGCCCUGCAAAGCAGCAUCGCGGUGGCGGAGCGUCGUUUGCGACGCCCAACACACAAAACAAGCGGUGAGUGCUUUGGGGUGGGGUGACUGCGUACCUUUUGUAUAAUGGGUCAGCGACUUAUAUUCUGUAGCAAGGUUAACCGAAUAGGGGAGCCGGAGGGAAACCGAGUCUUAAUUGGGCGUUAAGUUGCAGGGUAUAGACCCGAAACCCGGUGAUCUAGCCAUGGGCAGGUUGAAGGUUGGGUAACACUAACUGGAGGACCGAACCGACUAAUGUUGAAAAAUUAGCGGAUGACCUGUGGCUGGGGGUGAAAGGCCAAUCAAACCGGGAGAUAGCUGGUUCUCCCCGAAAGCUAUUUAGGUAGCGCCUCGUGAAUUCAUCUCCGGGGGUAGAGCACUGUUUCGGCUAGGGGGCCAUCCCGGCUUACCAACCCGAUGCAAACUGCGAAUACCGGAGAAUGUUAUCACGGGAGACACACGGCGGGUGCUAACGUCCGUCGUGAAGAGGGAAACAACCCAGACCGCCAGCUAAGGUCCCAAAGUCAUGGUUAAGUGGGAAACGAUGUGGGAAGGCCCAGACAGCCAGGAUGUUGGCUUAGAAGCAGCCAUCAUUUAAAGAAAGCGUAAUAGCUCACUGGUCGAGUCGGCCUGCGCGGAAGAUGUAACGGGGCUAAACCAUGCACCGAAGCUGCGGCAGCGACGCUGAUGCGUUGUUGGGUAGGGGAGCGUUCUGUAAGCCUGCGAAGGUGGCCUGUGAGGGUUGCUGGAGGUAUCAGAAGUGCGAAUGCUGACAUAAGUAACGAUAAAGCGGGUGAAAAGCCCGCUCGCCGGAAGACCAAGGGUUCCUGUCCAACGUUAAUCGGGGCAGGGUGAGUCGACCCCUAAGGCGAGGCCGAAAGGCGUAGUCGAUGGGAAACGGGUUAAUAUUCCCGUACUUGGUGUUACUGCGAAGGGGGGACGGAGAAGGCUAUGUUGGCCGGGCGACGGUUGUCCCGGUUUAAGCGUGUAGGUGUGUGUUCCAGGUAAAUCCGGUUCACUUUAACACUGAGGCGUGACGACGAGGCACUACGGUGCUGAAGCAACAAAUGCCCUGCUUCCAGGAAAAGCCUCUAAGCAUCAGGUAACAUCAAAUCGUACCCCAAACCGACACAGGUGGUCAGGUAGAGAAUACCAAGGCGCUUGAGAGAACUCGGGUGAAGGAACUAGGCAAAAUGGUGCCGUAACUUCGGGAGAAGGCACGCUGACACGUAGGUGAAGUGAUUUACUCAUGGAGCUGAAGUCAGUCGAAGAUACCAGCUGGCUGCAACUGUUUAUUAAAAACACAGCACUGUGCAAACACGAAAGUGGACGUAUACGGUGUGACGCCUGCCCGGUGCCGGAAGGUUAAUUGAUGGGGUCAGCGCAAGCGAAGCUCCUGAUCGAAGCCCCGGUAAACGGCGGCCGUAACUAUAACGGUCCUAAGGUAGCGAAAUUCCUUGUCGGGUAAGUUCCGACCUGCACGAAUGGCGUAAUGAUGGCCAGGCUGUCUCCACCCGAGACUCAGUGAAAUUGAACUCGCUGUGAAGAUGCAGUGUACCCGCGGCAAGACGGAAAGACCCCGUGAACCUUUACUAUAGCUUGACACUGAACAUUGAGCCUUGAUGUGUAGGAUAGGUGGGAGGCUUUGAAGUGUGGACGCCAGUCUGCAUGGAGCCGACCUUGAAAUACCACCCUUUAAUGUUUGAUGUUCUAACGUGGACCCGUAAUCCGGGUUGCGGACAGUGUCUGGUGGGUAGUUUGACUGGGGCGGUCUCCUCCUAAAGAGUAACGGAGGAGCACGAAGGUUGGCUAAUCCUGGUCGGACAUCAGGAGGUUAGUGCAAUGGCAUAAGCCAGCUUGACUGCGAGCGUGACGGCGCGAGCAGGUGCGAAAGCAGGUCAUAGUGAUCCGGUGGUUCUGAAUGGAAGGGCCAUCGCUCAACGGAUAAAAGGUACUCCGGGGAUAACAGGCUGAUACCGCCCAAGAGUUCAUAUCGACGGCGGUGUUUGGCACCUCGAUGUCGGCUCAUCACAUCCUGGGGCUGAAGUAGGUCCCAAGGGUAUGGCUGUUCGCCAUUUAAAGUGGUACGCGAGCUGGGUUUAGAACGUCGUGAGACAGUUCGGUCCCUAUCUGCCGUGGGCGCUGGAGAACUGAGGGGGGCUGCUCCUAGUACGAGAGGACCGAAGUGGACGCAUCACUGGUGUUCGGGUUGUCAUGCCAAUGGCACUGCCCGGUAGCUAAAUGCGGAAGAGAUAAGUGCUGAAAGCAUCUAAGCACGAAACUUGCCCCGAGAUGAGUUCUCCCUGAGACUUAGAGUCUCCUGAAGGAACGUUGAAGACGACGACGUUGAUAGGCCGGGUGUGUAAGCGCAGCGAUGCGUUGAGCUAACCGGUACUAAUGAACCGUGAGGCUUAACCUUACAACGCCGAAG